GGUUGUAGCUCAGUGGUAGAGCACUUGCCUAGCAUGUGUGAGGCCCUGGGUUGGAUCCCCAGCACUA
rnacentral:tRNA from 1 species